UUUUUUCUUUUUUUUAUAUAAUGAUUUUUAUUUUUUUAUUAUAGCUGGUUUACAGUGUUCUGUCCAUUUUCUACUGUGCAGCAACGUGACCCAGUCACACAUACACGUAUACAUUCUUUUUUCUCACAUGAUCGUGCUCCAUUGUAAGUGUUUUGUAAUUCAUUUUUCAUGUUUCACUAUGUCCCUUUUCAUGUCCCUUUUUUAUUUUUCGUUCGUUUAUCUUUUACGACAAAACUGCCUUCUGGCCCAUUUGUUAUGCGGGAAAAUGGGUUCAGGUAAAAAUACCUGCAGCAAAGAUGUUUAUGGCAAAGGAGCUGAAGAGGAAAUUCCAGGCAGAAAAUUAACCAGGUACGGGACACGGCUAAACCGUUGUGCACACAAUUCCUAGUGUCCGUGGUCUCUCUUCUCGGGAAUCUGACAUCCCAGCAGAGGAAAGGGUUAACAAAUAAAGAAAUUGAAACCUGUCGUUGGAAAACAAGACUUCACUUUUUGGGUCUGUAUCCACCUGACGCUGCUUGCUUGCAGCUGGCCCGUCUGCAAGCUGGCUACUCUGUCCAGACGCCUGGACCUGUCCCAGGACACAGCAUCUCCGCCACAUUCAAAGCUAUGGGUCCACGACCCCAGGGUCCGUUGGGCUCCUUUACAGCUUCAGUCAGCAACCUCCACAUCCCAUUACGGAGGCUCCAUGACUUAGGAUGGCACACGCAUCUUUCUCUAAGGAAGAGCUUCGGAGCUGAAGUGGUCCAAGGCUGAGAAGGCUCAUGUCCACUCAUCAGGCACCUGGGGAGACCAUCUCAGAAGUAGAGGGGGGUGUGUUUUGUUCAGUCCUGAUGCUUGGCUCCUGAUGCAAGAGGCUGUUUCUAAUAUUUCUGGCAUCCCCUGCAUUCUCAAUGCCUGUGCUCUGCCCCCGGGGCUUGCAUCCUGGGGGUUCCCAGCUUCGGGGGCUUGCAACGCUGUCCCUUGGUGCACAGGAAGCAACGAUGAAAUUUCCAUCUCGUGUCUGAUGAGGAGGCUCAAAGUGGAGGGUAGUUUGAAGAGGUUUAAAUCCAGGCGAACGCUUCUGCCGUCACAUGGUUCCCAAGAGGCCAGGGAUCGAACCUAUGUCCUCAUGGAUGCUAGUGGGGAUCAUUAACAGCUGACCCAUGAUGGGAACUCCGUCCACGACCUUUAUGAGCAGCGUAAUGGUUGGUGGCUACCUUUGAAUUUCAGAGCUGCCUUUGAUUUUAGGUGGAUCCCUAGGAAACAAAGGCCAUGCAAGCAUUGGGGGUCUGCAAAAAUAGCCGUUUCCUGGGUUCAGUUUAAUACAUCCAACACCCGAAUCAAAGUCCAUGAGUAUUUGAGCACCUUCUUUAUAAAGCCCCUGAGCUUGGUGCUGGACAUACAGUGGUAACAAGACACCCCGUCCCCAUGCUUUUGGAGAUUCUCAGUAAAGAUGAGGACUUUUUAAAUCACAACCUGUCACAAUGCAUGAGGAGGAAGUGGGUCAAAAAUGUCUCCUCUGGCGGGACAGAGUACUAGGUCUGAUGAAAAACUGUGUGAGCCAGGUGCAAACUUUAGCGUGUUCAGUGCCUCGUAGAGCAGAGCUACUUUCAAGGUAAUCCCCAGAGAGGUGUUUGCAGGCAUUCCCACUGUGCAUCUGUGGGUUAAGAACCCAACUAGUAUCCAUGAGGAUGUGGGUUUGAUCCCUGGCCUCGCUCAGGGGGUUAAGGAUCAGGCAUUGCCAUGAGCUGUGGUACAGGUCACAGAUGGGGUUCAGAUCUGGUAUUGCUGUCGCUAUUGUGUAGGCUGGCAGCUGCAGCUCCGAUUUGACCCCUAGCCUGGGAACGUACAUAUUUCUCAGGUGCCGCCCUAAAAAGAGAUGUUAUCAAAACAAAUGAAGUCACUCACCAGGGCUCCUUUCCUCCAACCCAAUAAAAACUGAGAAAGACUGUCCGGGUGGUUAAUGUUUAUAAAUCAGCCCAGAGGCCAAGUCCAGCCCAUCACCUGUUUUUGGAAAUCAAGUUUUAUUAGUGUAUGGCCAGGCCCACUCGCUUGGUAGAUGAAGAAGAAUCUUUCCUCUACCCUUGCAGUUCUGUACGGAGGUCUGCGAACUAAAGUGAUAAAAGCCAGAGAAGCAGUAGAAAGGGGUUAUGUAUACAUAUAGAGGCCUUCACAGAAAAGAAAGGGUCACUCGAAGAAGGAGUCAGAGUUGGGGGCUCAUGUACCAUUUUGACAAAAGGUGGUAAAUUACGGACAGAGCUUAGGAAAUGUCCAUGGGAAAUGAACAGAAGAGAAGGGUUAGUUUAGCAAGGUCUUUGAGGCAGACCGGUCUUGGUCUUGGUGUCUUGUCUCCAGCAAGGAAAGACCUUCUCCUCUCCCUGGAGCAGCCAAGGCACAUUUCUCACAAGCAAUUUAUGCCCUGCUUUCAGGCAGUUACAAGGGGCAGUGGAGUCUUCCAGUGUCUGCUGUUUCUCUACUGCUUUCUGCCCAAAGUAGCAUCUUUUAGGGGUGACCUAAUCUGGCCCCCUUCAGUGUACAUAUUGUCUGUGUUAUCUUCAUGCUUCAAGACAAGUCGUUCAGACAGAGAUUAGACAGCCUGCGAAACCCCAAAUACUGACUCUCUUUGUCCUUUCCUAAUAAGUCUGCUGGCCCUAUUUCUAUAAUGGCAGAAUAGCCUGCAGGGGGGAAAGAAAGGCAGAUGGAUGACAGGGAAGGUGCUGAUCUGAAACAGAACCAACGGAGCACAAUAAAAGACAUAUAUUUACCCUUUUAUGGAUGUUCUCUAUCUCCUUUCUAGGAAGGCAUGAAAUGAUUUUGAUCAUGUGCAAAGGAUCAUUUGAACUUUUCUAAGAUUUGAAGUUGCACAUAUUUUUCUGCUGUUAAAAAAAAAAAAAAAAAAAAAAAAAAAAAAAAAAGGUGUGUUUUGGCCCUUCGCAUGAAGCAGAGAAAAACAGGACUGUGGCUCCUAUUACAUUUCUAUCAGGUCCCCAAGCCAACAGCCUCUAACUGUAAAAGAAACAGCUACCCCAAAAUACCUACGCAAGUAUAACUCCCUCUUCUGAUGUCAUUUGCAUCACGUGGAAUCAUCUCCCAGGAUAACUGAAGGGUAUUUCAUUUUAAACCCUCCUUACUGUAGUUGUUCUCGAAAGAGGUCUAUCCAUAAAGAGGCAAGUCCUUUAUUAAUUUGCACCAAAUUUUUCGUGAGGCUGAUAACUGAAAUUCUGAAGGGAGUAAGUUCAGUUCUUGUGUCACCCGCCUUGAUAAAAAGAGAAGAACUGUUUACCUUGAAAGGAACAAGAAGAACGUGUUCCAAAGAAAUUUUCAAAAACGGGAUGAACAGAAACCAUUUUUCUCUCGCCUCUAAGAGGUACCCCUGAUCCAAGAAGUUCUUAAACCUGACAGAUUUCUCCUCUGAGUAAGCGCGACCCCUUAUCUUUGUUUUCGAAUGGAUGGGGUUCUCGUUUCUUAACGCAUUCAAAAGGCUUUUCUCGUGCGUGAGCAAUUAUUAAUUCAAAGGCCCCACAAUGACUAACUCUAAGCCGCAAAGAGUUGAACAGCACUAGGACAUCCCUAGGUCUCUUCCAAAAACACCACAACAUUGUGUAUUUAUAAUCCAUGCAUUUAGGUGAAGUAUCAGCUCACGCAUCACACGUGCUUUGUGACACAGUCUCAUUGUUCCGAAGAUGAAGCUGAUGCCAGGGAUGGAUGCUGGAAACAAGACAUUUACUGCAUCGAGGGGGACUGUUCCACCAAGGAGGAUCUUAGGUUCUUAAAAGUGACAAGGGGUUCCCUCCAAAUAUAAAAACCUUAGCCCUCCCGUGGAGCAGAGAAAGGGAGAAACAGGAAAAGAGAGAAAUAGGAAAAGUGCCAAGUGGACUUUUCGUUGGUGUUGAUGGAUGCUUCAAAGUCGGCCUAGGUGACGUCUUGAAAGAAAUUUUCCUGGGUUGCUCUUUUAUAAAAAAUUUUAUUGAAACAUCAUCUAAAGGGACAAAAGACAAAAACAAACAAACAAAAAAAGAAACAUAGUCUAUUUACAGGGUCGUGUUCAGGUAUAUGGCAAAGUGAUUUCGUUAUACACACAGACAUAUAUCUACUUUUUUUUACAUUCUCUUCUCUAUCACAGGUCAUUGCAUGAUAUUGAGCAAGUUUCCUGUGCUCUACAGUAGGUCCUUGUUGCUUAUCCAUUUUAUAUAUAGAGUAGGGUGUAUAGAUUAAUCCCAAACUGGAUGCUUCUCUGAAUGAUACAAAAACGUUGAUGGCUAAGAGAAGAUCUUAUGAAAGCAGAAGUCCUUGACCUUGGCCUCACUUAGGAUAAUCUCCUAAGAAGGCUGAAAAAUCCCGUUGGCCCUGGGAUUCUUGCUUGAAUCUCAUGGGUAGGACUCAGGCAUCGUAUUUUUAAUUAUCCAGGUGAUUCCACGUGCAGUCGAGUCCCAGAGCCCCCGGUGAGAGCCAACCACAACAUCCAAGCUCAAGGCCAUGGGAAGAAGGUAAGAAUGAAUAGACAACAGUAGGAAGGAUCUCUCCUGUGUGAGGUUUUCGUCACUUGGUAACAAUGGUUUGUAAAAUACAUCUUCAAGGAGUUCCCGCUAUGGGGCACUAGGAUAGGUGGGGCGCACAGGGUUUGAUCCCUGGCCCUGCACAGUGGGUUAGCUUGCAACUGUGGCUCGGAUCUGACCCCUGGCCCAGGAACUCCCUAGGCUGUGAGGUGGCCGAAAAAGAAAAAAAUAAAAAUCUUCAAAAGCAUGUGUUUGAAAUACACCUCUUCCCCCUAUCAUGGCAAAGACGGCUACGGGUCUGACCAUGAUCCCGACCUGCCGGAUUUGGGACUGGAAAUACGGCAGAAGUGGAAUGGGCUUGCCUUUGGGGAAAGAGGCUGCAGGAUGUUAAAGCCACGGGUUCUAAAGAGUCGAGUCAGAACCUGACCUCAGUGACAUGACAGAUAGGCUUGCCCAAACGGUAGGAACAGUAUUUCUUCUGGUCAUUUCUCCAGAAAGCGUAUCCAGAAAAACCCAAGCUGCGAUUUCUGCGAGAGAGCACAAGAAUUCCAAAAUAUUCAUCGUGGUUAUUUUGACCAAAGUUUGAAAGCUGAGACCAUGGUAGUCAGCAAACAUGAAGUGUUAAAAUUCAUGGCUGAAGGAAUAACUUCUCCUUGGAGCACGCACGUCGCUCACGUGGACCGCGGGGUGAUGACUGCGGGCUGCCCCUCUCUGGUUCCGUGUGGGAAGGAAUACUGCAUUAAAUUUGAUUUAAAUGGCCCCAGAAAAGGCAAUUUAGCACAUGUGCGUGAGCAUUUUAUUAUCGAGAGGAAAUUCAUUUCACAGGCAGAGAACCCACAACAAGACAUAUCAUGGUUGACAGUAUUCGGCGUCCUCGUUAAUGAUUCCAAGAGAGCCGCAGCGCCGAGACGUGACAAAGAAGCCUGACAUCGCAGGUUUGGGCCGAAUGCAAAGCGGCCAGGUCCUUGCAGCAAUGCUUCCCAGCGCCAUUUCCAGAUGCCCUGCCUUUUCCCGGCUGGAUCCCUGCCCACGG
rnacentral:lncRNA from 1 species